rnacentral:rRNA from 1 species
UAUGGAAUAUUGCAAAAUGGGCGAAAGCCCGAUGCAGCAACGCCGCGUGGGCGAUGAAGGCCUUCGGGUCGUAAAGCCCUUUUUGAGGGGAUGAGGAAGGACAGUACCCUCAGAAUAAGCCUCGGCUAACUACGUGCCAGCAGCCGCGGUAAAACGUAGGAGGCGAGCGUUAUCCGGAUUUACUGGGCGUAAAGCGCGUGCAGGCGGAUUGGAGAGUUGGAUGUGAAAGCUCCCGGCUUAACUGGGAGAGGUCGUUCAAUACUUCCAGUCUUGAGUGCAGUAGAGGGAAGUGGAAUUCCGGGUGUAGUGGUGAAAUGCGUAGAUAUCCGGAGGAACACCAGUGGCGAAAGCGGCUUCCUGGACUGUAACUGACGCUCAGACGCGAAAGCUAGGGUAGCAAACG